rnacentral:lncRNA from 1 species
UGUGUGUGUUGAUUGAGAGUGCACGGUUAAUUUUCAUGCAUAAGUUUGAUGCUAGGAUAUAAGGGAGUUUCACCUAAUCGUUAUGAACUUAUAUUCGCAAGUAGUAAAGGUUGUUGAUCACAAUCGUGUUAAGUAAAUUCUUGGCAGAAGUUUCAUGCAAUUCAUAGUAACAAGUGCCCUGCCAAUGCUUAUGAUUUUCACAGAACUUAAUGAUCUUUCCUUGUAUCUUUGUU